CGGUUAAGUUAGAAAGGGCGCACGGUGGAUGCCUUGGCACUAGGAGCCGAUGAAGGACGGGACGAACACCGAUAUGCUUCGGGGAGCUGUAAGCAAGCUUUGAUCCGGAGAUUUCCGAAUGGGGAAACCCACUGCUCGUAAUGGAGCAGUAUCCAUAUCUGAAUUCAUAGGAUAUGAGAAGGCAGACCCGGGGAACUGAAACAUCUAAGUACCCGGAGGAAGAGAAAGCAAAUGCGAUUCCCUGAGUAGCGGCGAGCGAAACGGGAACAGCCCAAACCAAGAGGCUUGCCUCUUGGGGUUGUAGGACACUCUGUACGGAGUUACAAAAGAACGAGGUAGAUGAAGAGGUCUGGAAAGGCCCGCCAUAGGAGGUAACAGCCCUGUAGUCAAAACUUCGUUCUCUCCUGAGUGGAUCCUGAGUACGGCGGAACACGUGAAAUUCCGUCGGAAUCCGGGAGGACCAUCUCCCAAGGCUAAAUACUCCCUAGUGACCGAUAGUGAACCAGUACCGUGAGGGAAAGGUGAAAAGCACCCCGGAAGGGGAGUGAAAGAGAUCCUGAAACCGUGUGCCUACAAGUAGUCAGAGCCCGUUAACGGGUGAUGGCGUGCCUUUUGUAGAAUGAACCGGCGAGUUACGAUCCCGUGCAAGGUUAAGUUUGAAAAGACGGAGCCGCAGCGAAAGCGAGUCUGAAUAGGGCGCAUGAGUACGUGGUCGAUAGACCC
rnacentral:rRNA from 1 species